UAAUACGUAGGGUGCGAGCGUUAAUCGGAAUUACUGGGCGUAAAGCGUGCGCAGGUGGUUUUGUAAGUCAGAUGUGAAAUCCCCGGGCUUAACCUGGGAACUGCGUUUGAAACUGCAAGGCUAGAGUGUAGCAGAGGGGGGUGGAAUUCCGCGUGUAGCAGUGAAAUGCGUAGAGAUGUGGAGGAACACCGAUGGCGAAGGCAGCCCCCUGGGUCAACACUGACGCUCAGGCACGAAAGCAUGGGGAGCAAACAGGAUUAGAUACCCUGGUAGUCCAUGCCCUAAACGAUGUCAACUAGUUGUCGGGUCUUAACGGGCUUGGUAACGUAGCUAACGCGUGAAGUUGACCGCCUGGGGAGUACGAUCGCAAGAUUA
rnacentral:rRNA from 1 species